rnacentral:rRNA from 1 species
AGUGAACGCUGGCGGUAGGCCUAACACAUGCAAGUCAAACGGCAGCACAGGAGAGCUUGCUCUCUGGGUGGCGAGUGGCGGACGGGUGAGGAAUACAUCGGAAUCUACUUUUUCGUGGGGGAUAACGUAGGGAAACUUACGCUAAUCCCGCAUACGACCUACGGGUGGAAGCAGGGGACCUUCGGGCCUUGCGCGAUUGAAUGAGCCGAUGUCGGAUUAGCUAGUUGGCGGGGUAAAGGCCCACCAAGGCGACGAUCCGUAGCUGGUCUGAGAGGAUGAUCAGCCACACUGGAACUGAGACACGGUCCAGACUCCUACGGGAGGCAGCAGUGGGGAAUAUUGGACAAUGGGCGCAAGCCUGAUCCAGCCAUACCGCGUGGGUGAAGAAGGCCUUCGGGUUGUAAAGCCCUUUUGUUGGGAAAGAAAUCCAGCCGGCUAAUACCUGGUUGGGAUGACGGUACCCAAAGAAUAAGCACCGGCUAACUUCGUGCCAGCCGCCGCCGUAA